UAAAAUACAUCUGUUAGCAAGGGCCGGGCAAGACCGGUGCCAGCCGCCGCGGUAACACCGGCGGCCCGAGUGGUGAUCGUGAUUAUUGGGUCUAAAGGGUCCGUAGCCGGUUUGGUCAGUCCUCCGGGAAAUCUGACGGCUCAACCGUUAGGCUUUCGGUGGAUACUGCCAGACUUGGAACCAGGAGAGGUAAGAGGUACUACAGGGGUAGGAGUGAAAUCUUGUAAUCCCUGUGAGACCACCUGUGGCGAAGGCGUCUUACCAGAACGGGUUCGACGGUGAGGGACGAAAGCUGGGGGCACGAACCGGAUUAGAUACCCGGGUAGUCCCAGCCGUAAACGAUGCUCGCUAGGUGUCAGGCAUGGCGCGACCGUGUCUGGUGCCGCAGGGAAGCCGUGAAGCGAGCUACCUGGGAAGUACGGCCGCAAGGCUGAAACUUAAAGGAAUUGGCGGGGGAGCACAACAACGGGUGGAGCCUGCGGUUUAAUUGGACUCAACGCCGGACAACUCACCGGGGACGACAGCAAUAUGUAGCC
rnacentral:rRNA from 1 species